GAUGAACGCUAGCGGCAGGCCUAACACAUGCAAGUCGAGGGGUAGAGGAAGCUUGCUUCCUUGAGACCGGCGCACGGGUGCGUAACGCGUAUGCAAUCUACCUUUUACAGAGGGAUAGCCCAGAGAAAUUUGGAUUAAUACCUCAUAGUAUCUUUGCCUGGCAUCGGGUGAUUAUUAAAGUUCCAACGGUAAAGGAUGAGCAUGCGUCCUAUUAGCUAGAUGGUAAGGUAACGGCUUACCAUGGCAACGAUAGGUAGGGGUCCUGAGAGGGAGAUCCCCCACACUGGUACUGAGACACGGACCAGACUCCUACGGGAGGCAGCAGUGAGGAAUAUUGGACAAUGGGCGCAAGCCUGAUCCAGCCAUGCCGCGUGCAGGAAGACGGUCCUAUGGAUUGUAAACUGCUUUUGUACGGGAAGAAACACUCCUACGUGUAGGAGCUUGACGGUACCGUAAGAAUAAGGAUCGGCUAACUCCGUGCCAGCAGCCGCCGUAAAAC
rnacentral:rRNA from 1 species